rnacentral:rRNA from 1 species
CCCCUAGAUGUUCUGGGCCGCACGCGCGCUACACUGAACAGUUCAACAAGUCUUAACCUUGGCCGAUAGGUCUGGGUAAUCUUUGAACGCUGUUCGUGAUUGGGAUAGACCUUUGCAAUUAUGGGUCUUCAACGAGGAAUUCCUAGUAAACGCAAGUCAUCAGCUUGCAUUGAUUACGUCCCUGCCCUUUGUACACACCGCCCGUCGCACCUACCGAUUGAAUGGUCCGGUGAAAUCUCGGGACGGCGGCUUGGUCGCUUGCGUCCGACUGCUGAAACUUGAUUAAACCAUAUCAUUUAGAGGAAGGUGAAGUCGUANUA